rnacentral:rRNA from 1 species
GUGUCAGCAGCCGCGGUAAUACGUAGGUGGCAAGCGUUACUCGGAAUCACUAGGCGUAAAGCGCAGGUAGGCGGUUUGGUAAGUCUGUUGUGAAAGCUCCCGGCUCAACUGGGAGAGGCCAACGGAAACUACCAGGCUAGAGUGUGGUAGAGGAAACUGGAAUUCCUGGUGUAGCGGUGAAAUGCGUAGAUAUCAGGAGGAACACCUAUGGCGAAAGCAGGUUUCUGGGCCAUCACUGACGCUGAGCUGCGAAAGCUAGGGGAGCAAACAGGAUUAGAAACCCUAGUAGUCC